rnacentral:rRNA from 1 species
UACGUAGGGUGCAGGCGUUAAUCGGAAUUACUGGGCGUAAAGCGUGCGCAGGCGGUCUUUUAAGUCAGAUGUGAAAUCCCCGGGCUUAACCUGGGAACUGCGUUUGAAACUGGAAGGCUUGAGUGUGGCAGAGGGGGGUGGAAUUCCACGUGUAGCAGUGAAAUGCGUAGAGAUGUGGAGGAACACCGAUGGCGAAGGCAGCCCCCUGGGCUAACACUGACGCUCAUGCACGAAAGCUGGGGGAGCGAACAGG